CUCCCUCUGUACCUUGCCCAAAACAGGAAAGGAAAAGUCACGAGCGGAGGAGAACGAGAGAGAGAGGAGCAAGCAUCCCAGUUCUUGGUCCCCAUUCUGUACAAGAGGGAGAGCGAGCAGACAGAGUUCUUUAACCCCCGUUCCGUGCGAGAGGUGGUUCUUUCUCUACACUGACUAGUCCUCUCCUUUCUCCCACGCCGCAAUCAACGCAGGCGAGAUCGGCGACGCUCGGAGCGAGGCGGCGGCCGGCGACAUGAGCGACAUGGCUGAAAGGCGGGAGCUGCGCGCAAGAGCCGUCACGACGAGCGGCGCCAUCGCAAAAGCCGCCACGACGAGCACCGGCACCGCGAGAGCCGCCACGACGGCCGGCAGAGGCCGAGGCAGGGGCAGGGGCAGGGGAGGCAAGCCAGCGACAGCAAUCAGUCCGCCCUCAACCCACGUAAAGGUGCCUACUGCUGUUUUGGCCAAAGGUAUCAAAACCUUGAAGGUCGUAAAGUUUAGUGCCGUAUAUGAAUCCUUGCCACUCCAUCUGGUUGCACCCGCGGUCCAUCGUGUUGUGGGAAAGCAAGCUACAAUCUUAAGGAUGAGAGGAGCGGCAUUGGACGAUAGCGGCAAAAGGUGCUUGGAGAUGGAAUUCCUGACAUAUCAAUCUGCCGCAAUGAUUCUGAAUCACUUCGUUAAAAUGACGGCAACAAAUCGAAUGUAUAUCCAACUAGAAUGGAGUGAUAGGAAUUUGGAUGACAUUGAAACUCCAACGGUUCCAAAUGUGUCCUACCAGGAGCCUAAACCGGAUUCAAAGACCGAGGAGCGGCUACCAGGAAUUGCUGGAUUCAACCGAUACUUCCCUUGGCAGUAAUCAAGAGCAUCGGUAUCACCCAUUUUUUUGGAGGCAAACCCUAUGUGGGAGAGAGAGCUUACAAACCGAGGGCUUUGAAUGUAAGGGAAUCCUGAAAAGCCAUGGAUUGGAGAAGACCAUGAGCAGUGGACAUGACCAUUUAAAGUCUCUUCUACGCGUCGAGGCCACCUAUCAUUUUGGAUGCAUGUAUGGUGAUCCAAGUGCGUUGCACUGGCGGCCGAUUUCGACCUGUCGCCUAUCUAUGGCUUGUCGUCUCGGUCAAAUACUAAACUGUUCAGUAUUUUGAUACUAGCUACCUCCAUCCAAAAAGAGUUCAUUUUUCAUUCGUGCACAAAAGUGAAUCCUUUUAGGACGGAGGUAGUACUAAACUUCAAGGCUAGGUGGUGCGGUGCGCCUUCUUCAGAGGUAGUAGUAUUAGUACCAUUAUCAUGUGGUGUUCCCCUGCGCCACCAUAUUUUUUUGCCGUCUGUUGGUCAACUCUGCCGCCCCCAAUCCCAUGUUAAGAACUUAAGACUACCCAAAAGGCUCUCGUGUUCAUCUAAAGAGAGCUCUCUUUUUAGCCUCAAUGCAACUUAUUUUUAAUUA